rnacentral:rRNA from 1 species
ACUCCUACGGGAGGCAGCAGUGGGGAAUAUUGCACAAUGGGGGAAACCCUGAUGCAGCCAUGCCGCGUGUGUGAAGAAGGCCUUCGGGUUGUAAAGCACUUUCAGUAGGGAGGAAAGGGUGAGUCUUAAUACGGCUCAUCUGUGACGUUACCUACAGAAGAAGGACCGGCUAACUCCGUGCCAGCAGCCGCGGUAAUACGGAGGGUCCGAGCGUUAAUCGGAAUUACUGGGCGUAAAGCGUGCGCAGGCGGUUUGUUAAGCGAGAUGUGAAAGCCCUGGGCUCAACCUAGGAAUAGCAUUUCGAACUGGCGAACUAGAGUCUUGUAGAGGGGGGUAGAAUUCCAGGUGUAGCGGUGAAAUGCGUAGAGAUCUGGAGGAAUACCGGUGGCGAAGGCGGCCCCCUGGACAAAGACUGACGCUCAUGCACGAAAGCGUGGGGAGCAAACAGGAUUAGAUACCCUGGUAGUCCACGCCGUAAACGAUGUCUACUCGGAGUUUGGUGUCUUGAACACUGGGCUCUCAAGCUAACGCAUUAAGUAGACCGCCUGGGGAGUACGGCCGCAAGGUUAAAACUCAAAUGAAUUGACGGGGGCCCGCACAAGCGGUGGAGCAUGUGGUUUAAUUCGAUGCAACGCGAAGAACCUUACCUACUCUUGACAUC